GCCCCCCGAAUUGUAGUCUAGAAAGGUGCCAUCGGCCGCGACCGUCGCUCAAAUCCCCUGGAACGGGGUAUCGGAGAAGGUGAGAAUCCUGUACCGUGGCGGCUCGCGGCCGCACGAUGCAUUCUUGCAGAGUCGGGUUGCUUGGGAUUGCAGCUUGAAGUGGGUGGUAAAUUCCAUCUAAAGCUAAAUAUUGGCUCAUGACCGAUAGCGAACAAGUACCGUGAGGGAAAGAUGCAAAGAACUUUGAAAAGAGAGUUAAAGAGUGCUUGAAAUCGGCAGGAGGAAACCCAUUUGCUGGCGGCUUCGCGUGUCUGAUUCAGCUCUUUUGAAGGAGUGCACUUUGGGCAUGCGGGUUCUCCGCGAUUACUACUGUGGCAUAACUCCCAAGUGGGCUUCGGUGAUCUUGGUUCUACCACGGUGGUGAUUCCGGCGGACGGAACGCCAGCAACUGACCCGUCUAGAAACACGGACCAAGGAGUCUGACUGUGAUGCGAGUACUUGAGUGGCAAGCCCGCGUGCGCAAUGAAAGUGAAGGGCGUGCCCCGCCAACCGACCUUGAUCUUCUGUGAAGGGUUUGAGUGUAGCAUCACUGUCGGGACCCGAAAGAUGGUGAACUAUGCCUGAGGAGGUUGAAGUCUGCCGAAAGGCAGAUGGAGGGCCGUAGCGAUACUGACGUGCAAAUCGUUCGUCGAACUUGGGUAUAGGGGCGAAAGACUAAUCGAACUAUCUAGUAGCUGGUUCCCUCCGAAGUUUCCCUCAGGAUAGCUUGGACGCAAGGGUUUUGU
rnacentral:rRNA from 1 species